GUAAGGAAUAUUGGUCAAUGGACGAAAGUCUGAACCAGCCAUGCCGCGUGAAGGAUGAAGGCCCUCUGGGUUGUAAACUUCUUUUAUCUGGGACGAAAAAAGGGUAUUCUUACUCACUUGACGGUACCAGAGGAAUAAGCACCGGCUAACUCCGUGCCAGCAGCCGCGGUAAUACGGAGGGUGCAAGCGUUAUCCGGAUUCACUGGGUUUAAAGGGUGCGUAGGUGGGUAUUUAAGUCAGUGGUGAAAUCUCCGAGCUUAACUCGGAAACUGCCAUUGAUACUAUUUACCUUGAAGGCACUGGAGGUAAGCGGAAUAUGUCAUGUAGCGGUGAAAUGCUUAGAUAUGACAUAGAACACCAAUUGCGAAGGCAGCUUACUACGGGGUGAUUGACACUGAGGCACGAAAGCGUGGGGAGCAAACAGGAUUAGAUACCCGAGUAGUCC
rnacentral:rRNA from 1 species